rnacentral:lncRNA from 1 species
GGACUCUCACUGAACUCAGAGGUUUUUUAAUUGCUUACACAGGCUAGCCACAAGCUCUGGUGAUCUACAGGUUUCCCCUCAAGCCUCCUCUCCAGUACUGGGCUACAGAUUCUCUGAGGGUACAUAUUCAGGUGUCCAUAGUAGUGGACUGGACACUGACUGAGCCAUCUUCCCCAGCCUUGAUUUAUUUAUUUGUUUAUUUGAAAAUAGAGAUUUCUUAUAUUAGGAAAUACUUUUUGCCUAUUGAAAAUCUAAUGAAGUCGACAUAAGAUUAAGUUAGGUACAAAAUCUAUUCAACUGAAUAGAUAGAUUUUGUAAAGAAUUUUUUUUAUGUGUGUGCCUGCAUGUGUUUAUGUGUUCCAUGUGAAUGCAGAUUCCCUUGGAGGCCAGAAGAGGGUGUCAGAUUCUCUGGAGCCAGAGUUAAAGGCAGUUGUGAGUUGCCUGCUGUGGAGACUGGGACCAAACCCUAAGUCCUCUGCAAGAGCAGAAAUCUCAGGACACAUCAGAGGAGAAACCCUUUCUGCUACACUGUGAUAAUAAGAAAAGUCCUGAGGUGCCAUCCUGUUUAUAUCUAAAUUCAUGUGAAGGAAGGAAGCCUAAACUGAAGGGCUCCCUGUUUCUCAAAAGCAACUGCCUAGAUGACAGUGUAUUGGCAAGGUGAGCGCUCAGAAGCUGACUUGACUGUGGUCCACGUCUAUCUAGCUGAUUGCAGAACUAAGUGUUGCUGGUGUGAUAUUGCUUUUUGAGGCAUAAGUGAUACAAGAUCCUGGGGGGGUCAUGGAGUCUUGCUUGUGCCACGGUUUCAGAAAGCAGCUGAGGCCAGGUGAUAAGUAGCAGUAUUGGAAUCCCUGAAAAAAAAAUCUUUGAGAAUUGGUUGUGUAAAGAUGUUAGUGUGAAGCCCAAGUUGCUGUAGAGACUCCAGGAUGGUGGAGCUGUCAGAAUCAUGAGGUAGCCACCAAGAAUAGCUGAAGAUGUAGAGUGUAAAAGAGAGAAUCUGUGUGGCACUAUAGGUGGCAGAACUGGAGGAUGGGACUACUCAAGCUCUUUGAAAACUUGCCAAUUUUAUCACAAGCCCCAGAUGUUGGACAUGGAGUUAUAGGAUGUGGUGACUGCCUGAUGGGUUUUGGGCUUGCUUUGAUCUGAUCAUUCUUUGUUAUGCUCUGAUCUCUUUGCGGUAAAAAUACUUACUAGUUGCUUCAGGCUCCUGCUGCUAUGAUGAACUGCACCCUGAAGCAUCUGCCACAGUGAGCCCUUUCUCCUUUCAGUUGUUUUUGUCAGAGUAUUUUGUAACACUAACAGGAAAAGAAACUAAGACGCCUAUAUUUAAAAAAAAAAAAGCUAGACUUAAAUAUUCAAAAGAUUUGUUGACAGCAGUGUAUACUUAUCCAUAACCAUCUUCUUUGGAUUCCAAAGAUUGCCUUUAGUCCUUUUCCACAUUCUGACAAAUUGCUUUCCUUCACCUGUGUUUGGUUUACUAGUCUCGUC